rnacentral:lncRNA from 1 species
AGGCAAACGGCUUGGUCUAUCCUCGAUUCCUUAUGCUAAGAUGAUUGGCAUGUGGCUGGGUCUUAGAUAUCUAGUCACCCACAUGGAGGUCAGAAAGGUGUGCAUUCAUGGUGAUUCAAUGGUGGUUUUAAAUUGGAUCUAUCAUCUAUCGGAAAAUAGACAAUCUCUUUCUCCUUGGAUGAAGGACAUUCACCUUUGGUUGGAAUCCUUCC